rnacentral:rRNA from 1 species
CAGUCGCCGCGGGAAUACGGAGGGGGCUAGCGUUGUUCGGAAUUACUGGGCGUAAAGCGCACGUAGGCGGCUUGGUAAGUUAGAGGUGAAAGCCCAGGGCUCAACCCUGGAAUUGCCUUUAAGACUGCCGAGCUAGUAGGUGAGAGAGGUGAGUGGAAUUCCGAGUGUAGAGGUGAAAUUCGUAGAUAUUCGGAAGAACACCAGUGGCGAAGGCGGCUCACUGGCUCAUUCUAGACGCUGAGGUGCGAAAGCGUGGGGAGCGAACAGGAUUAGAUACCCCUGUAGUCCCUGUCUCUUAUAA